AUUGAACGCUGGCGGCAGGCUUAACACAUGCAAGUCGAGCGGUAGCACAGGGGAGCUUGCUCCCUGGGUGACGAGCGGCGGACGGGUGAGUAAUGUCUGGGAAACUGCCUGAUGGAGGGGGAUAACUACUGGAAACGGUAGCUAAUACCGCAUAACGUCGCAAGACCAAAGAGGGGGACCUUCGGGCCUCUUGCCAUCAGAUGUGCCCAGAUGGGAUUAGCUAGUAGGUGGGGUAAUGGCUCACCUAGGCGACGAUCCCUAGCUGGUCUGAGAGGAUGACCCGCCACACUGGAACUGAGACACGGUCCAGACUCCUACGGGAGGCAGCAGUGGGGAAUAUUGCACAAUGGGCGCAAGCCUGAUGCAGCCAUGCCGCGUGUGUGAAGAAGGCCUUCGGGUUGUAAAGCACUUUCAGCGGGGAGGAAGGUGGUGAGCUUAAUACGUUCAUCAAUUGACGUUACUCGCAGAAGAAGCACCGGCUAACUCCGUG
rnacentral:rRNA from 1 species